UUCCUGCUUUUGGCAGGAGGCUGGACUCCGUGACCUACAGACUCCUUUUCCGCUUUAUAGUUCCGUGAUUCCGUGACUCGGUGGCUUCCUUUUUAAAAUGCAACAUUCUGAGCAUUGCCAAAGAAGAAUACAUAAAUAAAUAAACAAAACUUGCAUGAAGUGGGUUGCUUGACAGCCCAACGAGAUAAGUUAAGGAUGAAAGCAACCACUCUUCCAGCCUGCUUGGCAGUCUGUGCAGGAGGAAGCGGUUUCGGAAAGCAAAGGUUGAGCAAGUAAGGUUUCAAGGGGCACCUGUCUCCUCUUUCAGCCAACGCGCAAGGCGCAAGUGGGAGGAGAGCAGCAGAAGGAAGGUCGAUGCGAGAGAGAGAGAAGAUCUGGUGGCUUCUGAGAGCCCAGCCCAGAAGCAGCAGCGACAGCAAGAGCAGGAAGCGGUGGUUUCCCGUGUAGAAAUAUAGAGGCGUAGCCGGGCAAAAGCAGUCCGAAGGAGGGGAAGCAAGGAAGCCAGAAUUCAAGUGGGUUGGGACACAAGGAUGCAAAACAAGCAGCGGAGCCAAGAGGAAAAGAAGAUGAGGAUGUGGCACGGCCAGCAACGGUGGGAAUAACAAGACCUGCGAGGGACAACCAGCAAAGGGAAAAGAAAAAACAGAUUCUCUCUGCAUUCCACUCCGGGAGCCUCCAAGCACACAGCUGGGUUGGGAGCUCGCAAAGAAAAUGGAGCAUGAAAUGGAGGCCGUGGCGGAAGGAGGGACGGUAAUGUGCGGUGAUCCGGACUCUGACACCAGAACCGCCGGAGCGCAGGUUCAGCCAUGUUCUCAGGAUGACCUCAGUGUCCUCCGAAACCAGGGCGCUUGUUUGCGUUCACGGCAGAAAAU
rnacentral:lncRNA from 1 species